rnacentral:rRNA from 1 species
UACGAAGGGGGCUAGCGUUGUUCGGAAUCACUGGGAGUAAAGCGCACGUAGGCGGCGCGUUAAGCCAGGGGUGAAAUCCUGGAGCUCAACUCCAGAACUGCCUUUGAUACUGGCGUGAUCGAGUGUGGGAGAGGUUGGUGGAACUGCGAGUGUAGAGGUGAAAUUCGUAGAUAUUCGGAAGAACACCAGUGGCGAAGGCGGCCAACUGGCCCAUUACUGACGCUGAGGUGCGAAAGCGUGGGGAGCAAACAGG